ACUCCUACGGGAGGCAGCAGUGGGGAAUUUUGGACAAUGGGCGCAAGCCUGACCCAGCCAUUCCGCGUGAGUGAAGAAGGCCUUCGGGUUGUAAAGCUCUUUCGGCAGGAAAGAAAUCGCCCGUUCUAACAUAGCGGGUGGAUGACGGUACCUGAAGAAGAAGCACCGGCUAACUACGUGCCAGCAGCCGCGGUAAUACGUAGGGUGCGAGCGUUAAUCGGAAUUACUGGGCGUAAAGCGUGCGCAGGCGGCUUUUUAAGCCAGAUGUGAAAUCCCCGGGCUUAACCUGGGAACUGCAUUUGGAACUGGAAGGCUAGAGUGCGGCAGAGGGGGGUAGAAUUCCACGUGUAGCAGUGAAAUGCGUAGAGAUGUGGAGGAAUACCGAUGGCGAAGGCAGCCCCCUGGGUCGACACUGACGCUCAUGCACGAAAGCGUGGGGAGCAAACAGGAUUAGAUACCCUGGUAGUC
rnacentral:rRNA from 1 species